UGUUUACCCUUGUGAAAAGUACAUUCUUUUAUAUGUUCUCUUUCAGAAUGAAAACGCAUAAGUGAAUUAGGAAUUCUCGCGGAUUUCGAAUAAUAUAAAGAAUUUGAAGGUAAUCUCCUUUAUCUGGAAGCUUUCAAAUUUUAACUAUAGCAUGUAAAGAUGAGAAGAGGCAAUCGAAUCGACUGUCUUAACCCUUGGCAGACUUGGUAAUUCGUGAAAUCGAAGAGUUUCGUGAAGUACGAUUUUUUCCUCUCAUGUUUAUGCAUCGAAACGAGGGUUGUACGAUUUACGUAAGACAGUAAAGCUGAAAUUACAGUAGGAAGGAUAUUGCGGAGCUUCCAUCGUAGAACCGAUUCCUUUUAUCGUAACUAAAGGUUAUUACGAUGGAUACCCUCUCUUUCUCUUCGGAGAGAAACAGGUUCGUAGAAGGUUGUAACUUCGACUUUCGAAGUUUACCGUCUUACUUUUAUAUCCACUUGCUUUCUCGCAAUUUAGAAAUAACUUGAAAUUUAGAAAUCCCUUCGACAAGAAUCUUUCCUUGAUUUCAUUCGUUCAUUACUUACAAUAACGUACAAAUUUUGAUAACAAUGCUUUUGGAAUUUUCGAUUUAUGUCAAUAAUCGAUUAUUAUCGAGCAUUACAUGGAUUAAUAAAAUGUCACUGAAUUAUAUUUGAGGAUCGUAUGAGAUAACAAAAAUGGCAAUCGUUCUUAAAGAAGUUAAUCACCCGUCUUCAACGAAAGAUCAAUAAAAGAGAUUUAAUUAAUACGUCGCGAUCAUUAUUAACACCAAUUGUUGCUUGUCAAAAAUAGUUACAUUCUUACUUCAGAAUAGUUGGAUUUUUAAUUUUCUUCGCGUCGAAGUUACUCCUCUUGUAGACGUCAGCACAUUCAUCCCUUUGCCUUAUUUCCUCGUAUGAGGAAAAGACGUGAGAUCGCCAAGGGGGAUCAAUUUACAGUAAAAAAUAAAAAGAGAGAGUGAGAAAGAGAGAGAAAGGAAGAAAAAAGAAGGAGGCCUGUAAAAGCGGGGACCAACACCGCAGCUGUGAAACAACUCAAACGUAUAAAGAAACGACAGUGGAUAUAACGCGAAAACGCGUUUCCUGGCGGAAAUAAUUCGUGUUCAGAAUGGUCAGCUGGACCCUCCUACACGUAAAUCACGACGCUGCCGCAGAUCCAAUUAUCAAAUUGUCCGGCACUUCAGCCUAGUCAAGAGAACCAUCGAGAUGGCGUGAAACGACAGAGGAAAAGGGAGGAAAGGAAUAGAGCUGAAGGAGAUGCAACGAUGUGCUUCGAAGAAGAACGUACGUUCCAUGCUGCCGUCGAGGUGACAUUAUUGUUGACUAAUACUUAUCUGAGAAAUUCCCAUGAUGCAAAACGAGCAUAUCUUCGGCGUUAUCUUAUUUUUAAUAAAAUAUUUUCCUCUUGACGUUGGGUUACCAAGAACGUUGUAUUCUCCAUCAGAUUUUCUUCUCGGACAAAGGUCAAUGUGAAAUAUGAUUAUAAGAUUGUUUCGAGCGAAUAAUAAACUAACAAUGAUUCGAUUUCUCGAGGAAAGAUCGGGAAAGAGUGAGCGAAAAAAGAUAAAUUCUCAACCGCGGUCGAUGGUUUCAUCGGGCGACCGAAAAUAUCUGAACGAGGAGGUUUCUCCCUCGGGCAACGACAAUUGAGUCAAUUUAGAGAGCGGUUUUGAUAGGUCGCCUGACAUGUGAGCGCGUUACACGGCAGGUGUUCUGAAAUAUUACGCCCGCGUGCUACGCCAAUUAUCCCCGACGUCAUGCCCGAAAGGCGUAAUGGACGAUUACUACCGACACCAAAUCGCGACGCUUUUUUAUUUGUCCCCAUUUUGAACGGAGUUCAGAGAUGCUGCAAAGAGCAUCGCCUAUAUACGUCUUCUAUUCGAUGGAUGAGAAUUUCUUUCGCUAUUAUCUAACAUAUACGCAAACGAUCGAUGACGAUUUACAAUUAAUAAAAUUAAACGUAAUAACGUAUGUACAUACCACAUAUAUUCACUAAAGUUAUACUAUAUCGUGUUAUUUAUUAACAGUUUUUAAAAUACGCAAUAAAAUUGUAACGGAAUUAAUUCACUUACGAAUCUUUCUCUUACUAAGGCACAAGCACACAAGAUAAUCAUUCGGCGUCUGAUCCGAUACUGUUAUUUAAUCGCUUAUUCCAUCUUUCGGUGAUCCUUAUUGAUAAACAGAGGGCCGUCCCCAAUAUGUAGAAAUCAAAACAUACACACGUACUAGAUAUAUUUAUAUUGUAUUAUGUGACCUUACAAUGUGUCGAAUGUAUACACAUAUACAAUAUUCUCCGAGGGCCUUCCCUGAUAUCAAACAAUGACUUACGUAUCAAUAAAAUAUGUUAAAAAUACACAGGUGACUUUUUCAUUUAUAUACGAUUAUUUUUAUGUAUCGAUGUGUGUGUUUUUAAUCUGUUUCCUUCGAUCGUUUUUUACCGAUAAUAUAUAUUGGAAUAUAAUGGCGAAAUUGAAUAUAAGUCGAUAAGCCAAGACGAUAAAAGCACUAGUAUAGAGAAAGUAUAGAUAUUGAAAUCUAAUAUUUUAAAAUCGUGAAUUUAUUUGUAUUCAUGAUCUUCUUUUAAAAAGAAUAACUUUUUGUUCUAAUACUAAUCGUAUGAUUUCGUGUAUAGAAUACUAUCAAGAUGUCACAGGUUACCUUUUCCCUACUCGUUAUUGCAUUAAUAAUGUGCAUUAUUGUUCAAACUAUUUGGGCUGCACCAACCUUGCAAGAGAACGAAGAAGGACACUUGGCCGGAUGCGGUCAUCAGGCUGCUCACUGUAAAAGAAACUCAGAUUGCUGCUUUUAUCUGAAAUGUCACAACUACGUUAAAUUGUGCCUGCCUUAGGAAGAACAAAUUAAAACAGAACACACACACACAUAUAACUGGACAUGUUAACUAAUCUAAUACGAUUACUAUUGUAUUAUUGAUAUUACUUAUUAAAGUUCAUAAACGUUACAAUUAUGAUUAUAAGAAUGUAAAAUAAAACUAUACGUUUAAUAUCAA